rnacentral:rRNA from 1 species
CAUCACCCUGUGACAUACCUAAACGUUGCUUCGGCGGGAACAGACGGCCCCGUAACACGGGCCGCCCCCGCCAGAGGACCCCCUAACUCUGUUUCUAUAAUGUUUCUUCUGAGUAAAACAAGCAAAUAAAUUAAAACUUUCAACAACGGAUCUCUUGGCUCUGGCAUCGAUGAAGAACGCAGCGAAAUGCGAUAAGUAAUGUGAAUUGCAGAAUUCAGUGAAUCAUCGAAUCUUUGAACGCACAUUGCGCCCGCCAGUAUUCUGGCGGGCAUGCCUGUUCGAGCGUCAUUACAACCCUCAGGCCCCCGGGCCUGGCGUUGGGGAUCGGCGGAGCCCCCCGCGGGCACACGCCGUCCCCCAAAUACAGUGGCGGUCCCGCCGCAGCUUCCAUUGCGUAGUAGCUAACACCUCGCAACUGGAGAGCGGCGCGGCCACGCCGUAAAACCCCCAACUUCUGAACGUUGACCUCGAAUCAGGUAGGAAUACCCGCUGAACUUAAGCAUAUCAAUAG